AGACCCCACAGGACCCCCAAAUCCCAACCCCCUCCAGCCUCACCAUGACCACCGAGAGCCCCUUCAGGGAGGUGAUCGAGGCCAUCGCCGAAAGCGCCUUCAAGACGUCGCCGUUCCCGGUGAUUUUGUCCUUCGAGAACCACGUGGACUCGGCGAAGCAACAGGCGAAAAUGGCCGAGUACUGCAGGAGCAUCUUCGGGCCGGCGCUGCUGACGGAGCCCCUGGACAAGUACCCGGUGGGGCUGGGGG